GAAUCUUGCGCAAUGGGCGAAAGCCUGACGCAGCAAUGCCGCGUGCGGGAGGACGCCCUUCGGGGUGUAAACCGCUUUUCUGGGGGACGAGAAAGGACGGUACCCCAGGAAUCAGUCACGGCUAACUACGUGCCAGCAGCCGCGGUAAGACGUAGGGGGCAAACGUUAUCCGGAAUUACUGGGCGUAAAGGGUCCGCAGGCGGUCAGCAAAGUCGGACGUGAAAGCGCGCGGCUCAACUGCGCGAGGCCGUUCGAAACUGGUUGACUUGAAUCCGGCAGAGGUCGGUGGAAUUCCCGGUGUAGUGGUGGAAUGCGUAGAGAUCGGGAGGAACACCAAGAGCGAAGGCAGCCGGCUGGGCCGAGAUUGACGCUGAGGGACGAAGGCGUGGGGAGCGAACAGG
rnacentral:rRNA from 1 species